GUGUUAUUGACGGAGUAAGUGCAGAAAACGGCCGUCGUGGUAUUAGACAAAGGCAGAGCUUCACAAAUUGCUUCGAAACUCGUCCAGAACCAGAGGCAGUGAACACAGACUCGAUGAACCCUUGUCGGCCAUGCAGAAGCAAACGACCGAGCUCAUUGUGACCCUCGUGUUUGUGCCUCUCUGUGUGCUGGCCUGGCAUUCUGUGUGGACGUGGCGGUGUUGUCUACACCGGUGGUGGUGAUGGUGAUAGCGAUGGUGAAUGUGCGGGACUGUGGUGGUGAUGAUGAUGGUAUUUGCGUUUGCAGCAUCUAGAAAUCGUGGUGGUGUUGGUGGUUGUUAUGGUGGUUGUUGGCAACAGGAAUGUCAUUCUCGGCACUACAAUUUGAGUUCUGUCGGGGUGUCUCAACAAUAAGUGAAAUUGUAGGGGAAACUGCCGAAAAAGUGUGGUGUGCCCUUCAAUCACAGUACAUGUCUUUUUCAAGAAGAGAAAAGUGAGGGGCAAUUGCACAGUGAUAUUUUGAACUUUGGAAGAUGCCUAACUGUUUAGGAUCAUUGGAUGGGAAGCAUAUUAGAAUCAAGUGCCCUGAUUCCUCUGGUUCUACCUAUUAUAACUAGAAAUGCUUUUUUUUCACUUGUCUUGAUGUCAUGUGCUGAAGCAGAUGGAUCUUUUUAACUUUUAUCAGCGUUGUUGAUUAUGGAUGCAACAGUGACGGUUGAGUACUACGAGGAUCAGGCUUCUUCCACAGCCUUGCCCAAGGCGCAAUGAACAUUCCACCGCCUGCUAUCCUCACAAAUGAGGAUAGCAGGCUAUCCUCGUAUUUCGUCAAUGAUGAAACGUUUCAGCUACAAGAAAGCUAGGAGAAGCCUCACGAAUCCAAAAAGAAUGUUCAACAAAAGGUUAUCAACAGCAAGAAAAAGUGUUGAGAGUGCAUUUGGCAAAAUUCAGAGUGUUUGAGGGACCGUUCAGUUGUAAUCCAAAUAAGGUCGACAGCAUCACAAAGACUGCAUGUGUCUUGCAUAACUACAUUCGACAUCACGAUGGAGUGCUGUCAACACCACGUACUGAUCAAGAGCUAACCAGUGCAUACAACUUAACCCCUCAGGCUCCACGACAAGUUCUUGGCCGCACAGCCACAACAGGCCAGCAAAUGAGGGAUAGGCUAUAUGAACACAUUUUAGACCCAAGAAAUGCCCUAGCUUCAUAGUUUAGUACAAGUGUAUAAAUAUGCUUCCCAAUAUCAUUUAUAGCACUAUAUAAUGUAACUGAAAAAGGAAAUAAACACCAGGUCUUUUUACAUGGAAUAGGCUAUGUGAACACUUUUUAGAUCUAAGAAAUGCCGUAGCUUCACAGUUUAGUACAUGUGUAUAAAUAAGCUUCCCACUAUAAUUUACAACACUAUAUAAUGUAAUUGAGAAAGGAAAUAAACACCAGGUUUUUUUUUUUACAAGGAAUAAGCUAUGUGAACACUUUUUAGAUAUAAGAAAUGCCGUAGACAAAAACACUUUAGUACAUGUGUAUAAAUAUGCUUCCCAGUAUCAUUUAUAACAAUAUGUGAUGUAAUUGAGAAAGGAAAUAAACACCAGGUCUUUUUACAAGCA